rnacentral:lncRNA from 1 species
GUUGUUAAGUCAUGUCCAACUCUUGCGACCCCAUGGGCUGUAGCCCACCAGGCUCCUCUGUCCAUGGGAUUUCCCAGGCAAGAGUACUGGAGUGGGUUGCCAUUUCCUUCUCCAGGAGAUCUUCCUGACCCAGGGAUCAAACCCAGGUCUUCUACGUUGCAGGCAGAUUCUUUACCAACUGAGCGGACACCCACAAACCACAUUUUGAGGAUUUUUACUCCAAGCAACUUAUACAGUUUUCCCUUUGAGGCUACAGAAUAUAGAUCCAGAUAACGCCAGUGCUGCCUGGAUCAGCUGCGCAUUGAAGAAAACUCCAAAACAAAGCUGCCAAGUAAACACCAGGAGGACACACUAGAAACAUGUUGGCUGGGCCAGAAACAUAUAGAAUUCUUCAACUGUAGCAUCACUUCCAUGCAACUUGUUUUUAAAUUCUACCUUUGAGACCCUUCCUGGUCAGCUCUGUAUUUAUUAGGAAAGUGAAGUCAGGUAUAACUUUAGGCCACUGGUAUUUCAGAAGUGUGAGUGAGAUGGAGUUUGGAUGGCGAUACUAUUACAAUCACACCAUUUAACUUUAGUAAGAGAUUUGCUUCUGUUUCUACUCAUAAAAAUCCCAUAUUGGCUCAGUAUUUGAAAACAGCGCAAUCUAUGCCCGUGUAAAUCAUCUUCCUCGUGCUGUGAGCUUCCUGAAUAAUGAGACAUUGUGAACAGCCUCAUCUCAGGAGUGUUUCUUGAGGGAUCACCAUUCAGUCAGGAUUUAAAUAAUGGUUAUCUUAGGUAGCCAAAGAAUCUGGUUUUGAAAGUUAUUGAGUAUAUCACUUUAGAAAACGAAAGAAGACAAAAACAGAACAUGAAAAAAAUCCACUGAAGCUACAUAUUUGGUGGUCUAAGAUGGCCAAGUUAAAUCAUUUCCACCAUCAAUUUCAAUUAAGAAAUGAUUGUUGACUAGAGAAAUGUCUAAGAAAUAUUUUUCCUGGCAAAUGAAAGUUUCAAAUACAUUCUCAAGAACAUUUUAAUAAAUAUAUUCUUUUACUUGAGCUGUCA